GCCAGUGUGGUGUAGUGGUUUGAACAAUGAACUAUAACUCUGGAGACCAGGGUUCAAAUCCUUGCUCCACCA